rnacentral:rRNA from 1 species
UAGGGAAUUUUGGACAAUGGGGGCAACCCUGAUCCAGCCAUGCCGCGUGCGGGAAGAAGGCCUUCGGGUUGUAAACCGCUUUUGUCGGGGAAGAAAUCUUUCGGGCUAAUACCUCGAGAGGAUGACGGUACCCGAAGAAUAAGCACCGGCUAACUACGUGCCAGCAGCCGCGGUAAUACGUAGGGUGCAAGCGUUAAUCGGAAUUACUGGGCGUAAAGCGUGCGCAGGCGGUUAUGCAAGACAGAUGUGAAAUCCCCGGGCUUAACCUGGGAACUGCAUUUGUGACUGCAUAGCUGGAGUACGGUAGAGGGGGAUGGAAUUCCGCGUGUAGCAGUGAAAUGCGUAGAUAUGCGGAGGAACACCGAUGGCGAAGGCAGUCCCCUGGACCUGUACUGACGCUCAUGCACGAAAGCGUGGGGAGCAAACAGGAUUAGAUACCCUGGUAGUCCACGCCCUAAACGAUGUCAACUGGUUGUUGGGAGGGUUUCUUCUCAGUAACGUAGCUAACGCGUGAAGUUGACCGCCUGGGGAGUACGGCCGCAAGGUUGA